rnacentral:rRNA from 1 species
GAUGAACGCUGGCGGCGUGCCUAAUACAUGCAAGUCGAGCGAACGGAUGAGAAGCUUGCUUCUCUGAUGUUAGCGGCGGACGGGUGAGUAACACGUGGAUAACCUACCUAUAAGACUGGGAUAACUUCGGGAAACCGUAGCUAAUACCGUAUAAUAUUUUGAACCGCAUGGUUCAAAAGUGAAAGACGGUCUUGCUGUCACUUAUAGAUGGAUCCGCGCUGCAUUAGCUAGUUGGUAAGGUAACGGCUUACCAAGGCAACGAUGCAUAGCCGACCUGAGAGGGUGAUCGGCCACACUGGAACUGAGACACGGUCCAGACUCCUACGGGAGGCAGCAGUAGGGAAUCUUCCGCAAUGGGCGAAAGCCUGACGGAGCAACGCCGCGUGAGUGAUGAAGGUCUUCGGAUCGUAAAACUCUGUUAUUGGGGAAGAACAUAUGUGUAAGUAACUGUGCACAUCUUGACGGUACCUAAUCAGAAAGCCACGGCUAACUACGUG